rnacentral:rRNA from 1 species
UAAUCUCAUGGUUUAACUAAUUAUUUUUUAGGUUUGUUUGCCUUUUGCAUCAUGCUCAACAGAGUUUUGUAAAAGAUUAUUAUUAACCGAAAAGCCUAGAUUUUAUUAUUAGUUGUUUAGAACUAAUGUCGAGUAGACUAAAUAAAAUUAAUAAUAGGAUGUGAUAAAUUAGACGUUGGGUUUUAUAUCUGUUUUACAACUUAAAAUUUUGAUUUACCAACUUGGUUAAGAUAUCAAGUUGGGGUAUAUAUUAUUAAUUUAUUUAAAUUUUAAUAAGGUUAAAGGUACCUUUUUGUUAAAAAAUUGUUUCAAAUUUUUAAAUUUACUGAUUAAUAAUUAUUCUAAGGGUUGUUUUAAAAAAAUUUUUAGGAUUUAAUUAUUUUUGAAUAAGUAAUAAAAAAAAAUCAAACAUUUCUCGAGUCUUGCCCGUCUGUUUAUUAAAAACAUUUCCAUGUUUAAAUUUAUAUGGUAGUACCUGCUCUAUGUUUAUUAUUAAUGGCCGCAGUAUCUUGACUGUGCGAAGGUAGCAUAAUUAAUUGCCUUAUAAUUGAAGGCUUGUUUGAAUGGUUUGACGUGGUAAGUACAAAUGUUUGAUUUUUUUUUGAAAUUAAUAUUGAGGGCACAGAAUCCUCUUUUGUUAAUUAGACGGAAAGACCCCAGGAUCUUUGUUUUUUUGUCUGGGGCAGAUUUGUAUAUUUUAUACUUAUUUUGAUCCUUUAAAGGUUUAAUGAUUUAAGUUACCCUGGGGAUAACAGUGUAAUAGUUUACUAGAGUUCUUAUCGAAUAAACUGUUUGCUACCUCGAUGUUGACUUAGGUAAAUAAGUCAGGCGCAGUAGUCUGGUUUAUUGGUCUGUUCGACCAUUUUUACCUCCAUGAGUUGAGUUAAGACCGGCGUAAGCCAGGUCGGUUCUUAUCUAUUUUUCUGGCCUAUUAGUACGAAAGGAUUGUAGGUUAUUUUUUU